GGAAUAUUGGGCAAUGGACGCAAGUCUGACCCAGCCAUGCCGCGUGCAGGAAGACGGCCUUCUGGGUUGUAAACUGCUUUUAUCUGGGAAGAAAACACCCAUGCGUGGGAAACUGACGGUACCAGAUGAAUAAGCACCGGCUAACUCCGUGCCAGCAGCCGCGGUAAUACGGAGGGUGCAAGCGUUGUCCGGAUUUAUUGGGUUUAAAGGGUGCGUAGGCGGCCCGUUAAGUCAGUGGUGAAAGCCAACAGCUCAACUGUUGAACUGCCAUUGAUACUGACGGGCUUGAGUACAGACGAGGUAGGCGGAAUUGAAGAUGUAGCGGUGAAAUGCAUAGAUAUCUUCAAGAACACCGAUUGCGUAGGCAGCUUACUAGGCUGUAACUGACGCUGAGGCACGAAAGCGUGGGGAGC
rnacentral:rRNA from 1 species